CGGGGUGUAGCGCAGCUUGGCUAGCGCGCUUGAAUGGGGUUCAAGAGGUCGUGGGUUCAAAUCCCGCCACCCCGA
rfam:Candidatus Jettenia caeni DNA, contig: KST1_D.